UAGACAAAAUAGGCAGGGUUCACACAAAUUGACCACAGCUUUGCCCACCAGAAAAAACCUUGGAUAUAAGAUUCAGUCAGCUGCUUGUCUCAAACAGUCAUGAGAUGCAGAAUUCUUGUAACCAUGGAGACAGCAAAGAGAAGAGAAGGCCAUGCCACUAUCCUUGAGGACUUUAGAUACAAAAGAAAUGAAUCAGAAUGCCAAACCUUGCUCACAACCAUCAGUACCAAAUCCAGAGGCAUAUAGGCCAAACUCUACUAAAUGAAGUUGAACCUGGGUAAGGAGAUAAUCUUUCAGGACACAUCCAAGAGACUGGAACAUCCAAGGUGCUGGCAGAUUUUGUAACCGCAUUAUGUAGAAGAAUCAGGGACAAGAAAAAUGCAGAUGUUCAUUCUCCUGGUGCCUUUCAUGGUUGAUCUGGAUGCUAAACAGUCCUGGCAACUCUCUAUGAAAAAUGCUUCUCUGUCCUUUUCAUCACCCAAGAGAGAAACAGAACCAAUAGGACAAGGGUCCCCAACCCUGAGGCUACAGACCAGUGCCAGUCCAUGGCCUGCUAGGAACUGGGCUGCACAGCAAGAGGUGAGCGGCAGGUAAGUAUUACUUUCUGAGCUCUGCCUCCUGUUAGGUCAGCAGCUGUAUUAGCUUCUUAUAGGAACGUGAACCCUAUUGUCAACUCUAGGUUGCACACUUCUUAUGAGAAUCUAACUAAUGCCUGAUGAUCUGAGGUUGAACAGUUUCAUCCUGAACCCAUCCCCCCAUCCUGGCACCCCCCUUCCCAAACUGAUCCUGUAAAAAUUACCUUCCAGAAAACCAAUCCCUGGUGCCAAAAAUGUUGAUAUAUUGGAGACUGCUGCAAUAGGAGAUUGUGUGUGUGUGUGUGUCUGUGUGUAUGAAAAUUUCACAGACAUGAAAUCUCCUCUCUCUCUCUCCCUAUAUGUAUACCAUAUAUAUAUUACCUCUUUCUAGUUG
rnacentral:lncRNA from 13 species